GCAAACUUGGUCAUUUAGAGGAAGUAAAAGUCGUAACAAGGUCUCCGUAGGUGAACCUGCGGAGGGAUCAUUACUGAAUGGCCUCUAUGGCCUUCAACCCAUCAAACCUGUGGUCUCAAUCUGUGCUUCGGCGUCAUGUUUCUUCAUGGCGCCGCUUUUAUGCAGAAAGGCUUGAUUUUGUCCGAUUCUAAACUAAAAGUUUAAAACUUUCAACAAAGGAUCUCUUGGCUCUCGCAUCGAUGAAGAACGCAGC
rnacentral:misc_RNA from 1 species